ACGGAAGGCAGCAGUGAGGAAUAUUGGUCAACGGGCGUAAGCCUGAACUAGCCAUGCCGCGUGCAGGAUGACGGCCUUAUGGGUUGUAAACUGCUUUUGUUCGGGACGAGAAUGAGCACGUGUGCUCAAGUGACGGUACCGGAAGAAUAAGCACCGGCUAACUCCGUGCCAGCAGCCGCGGUAAUACGGAGGGUGCAAGCGUUAUCCGGAUUUAUUGGGUUUAAAGGGUGCGUAGACGGUCUGGCAAGUCAGUGGUGAAAUUGGCUCGCUCAACGAGACAAUUGCCAUUGAUACUGUUGGACUAGAAUGCGAUCGGCGUCGGAGGAAUGCGACAAGUAGCGGUGAAAUGCUUAGAUAUGUCGCAGAACACCGAUAGCGAAGGCAUCCGAUGAGGUCGCAUUGACGUUCAGGCACGAAAGCGUGGGGAUCGAACAGGAUUAGAUACCCUGGUA
rnacentral:rRNA from 1 species